UACGUAGGGACCGAGCGUUGUCCGGAAUCAUUGGGCGUAAAGAGCGUGUAGGCGGCCACUUAAGUCCUGCGUGAAAUCUUGCGGCUCAACCGCAAGCGGUCGUGGGAAACUGGGUGGCUAGAGUGCGGGAGAGGAGAGUGGAAUUCCCGGUGUAGCGGUGGAAUGCGCAGAUAUCAGGAAGAACACCCGUGGCGAAGGCGGCUCUCUGGAACGCAACUGACGCUGAGACGCGAAAGCGUGGGGAGCAAACAGG
rnacentral:rRNA from 1 species